rnacentral:rRNA from 1 species
CAAUAGCGUAUAUUAAAGUUGUUGCGGUUAAAAAGCUCGUAGUUGGAUUUCUGCUGAGAACGACCGGUCCGCCCAUUGGGUGUGUAUCUGGCUCUUUCUUGGCAUCUUCUUGGUGAACGUUACUGCACUUGACUGUGUGGAGCGCUACCCAGGACUUUUACUUUGAGGAAAUUAGAGUGUUUCAAGCAGGCAUACGCCUUGAAUACGUUAGCAUGGAAUAAUAAGAUAGGACCUCGGUUCUAUUUUGUUGGUUUCUAGAGCUGAGGUAAUGAUUAAUAGGGAUAGUUGGGGGCAUUCGUAUUUAACUGUCAGGGGUGAAAUUCUUGGAUUUGUUAAAGACGGACUACUGCGAAAGCAUUUGCCAAGGAUGUUUUCAUGGA